UACGGGGGGGGCAAGCGUUGUUCGGAAUUACUGGGCGUAAAGGGCUCGUAGGUGGCCAACUAAGUCAGACGUGAAAUCCCUCAGCUUAACUGGGGAACUGCGUCUGAUACUGGAUGGCUUGAGUUUGGGAGAGGGAUGCGGAAUUCCAGGUGUAGCGGUGAAAUGCGUAGAUAUCGGGAGGAACAUCAGUGGCGAAGGCGGCUACCUGGCCCAAUACUGACACUCAGGUGCGACAGCGUGGGGAGCAAACAGG
rnacentral:rRNA from 1 species